GUGCCAGCUUCCGCGGUAAUACCGGCAGCCCGAGUGAUGGCCGAUCUUAUUGGGCCUAAAGCGUCCGUAGCCGGCCGGACAAGUCCGUUGGGAAAUCGACGCGCCUAACGCGUCGGCGUCCAGCGGAAACUGUCCGGCUUGGGGCCGGAAGAUCCGAGGGGUACGUCCGGGGUAGGAGUGAAAUCCCGUAAUCCUGGACGGACCGCCGGUGGCGAAAGCGCCUCGGAAGGACGGACCCGACGGUGAGGGACGAAAGCCAGGGUCUCCAACCGGAUUAGAUACCCCGGUAGUCC
rnacentral:rRNA from 1 species